rnacentral:misc_RNA from 1 species
AAAAAUAAUAAUAAAUUGUUUGGACGUGAAAUUUCCGAUUUCAUUUAUGUGAAAUCUAUUUUCAAAACCGCAAGCAACAACACGAUCUCUUAUAAAAUGCUUGUAGCAACUAUGCAUUUUAAUGCUAUCUUAACUCUUUCGUUUUCUCUCCUCUGACAGCUUUGAAAGUCUCUCUCCUUGACAAGCCCAAAUUCUCAAGCCAUGAAGGGACCGAGAACUGCUGUGAUUGCUCACAAGAGGCCUGACGCAGAGUAAUUUCGUUUGCGCUAAUGUGCUUUGCCCAUUUUUGUUUCCUGCGGUUUGAUUUCUCGCGACUAGGUGUUUUUGCUUUGAUGUUGUUUCUACAAACCGUUUCUGCUCUUUUCUUUAGCUUUAUGACUCUGUUUUUGUUCCUUUUUGUUUUGGUUAUUUGCUUCGAUUUCUCUGUUACUAUUUUGAUAUAGCGAUUUUGUAUGUGUUUUGAUUUAGCUUCUGUGCAUUUUUUAUCUUCGAUUCUCUUCUUCUAGAAAUCGACUUGUUAUGCAGCUGCAAAAUCUGCUCCGAGAAUCGUGAUUGUGCUAUGGAAUUCAACUUUCUUAUUGUAUUUUCGUGUUCGUUUUCUGGGAUCUUUUCUUUUUCUUAGGCGACUGAAAUUUCCAUGGAGGCUGGUUAUUCCUUCUUUUGUUUUCUUCAGAUUUGGCUUUCUGAGUUGAUGUUCUAGUUUCUUGGCCUCUUAAAGUCGAUUCUCUUUUGAUUUUCUGUGCUUCUCAUUUUUUAAGGAAGUUGAAGGCACGCAAAGCCGAGAUCAAAACGACAAAGGAGAAAGGGAGCAAGAAGAACUCCGCUCCAAAGGAUCCUGAUGCUCCAAAGCGUCCUCCCAGCGCUUUUUUCGUCUUCAUGGAGGAGUUCAGAAAAUCUUUCAAGGAGAACUUUCCUGAAAACAAAUCUGUUUCUGCUGUAGGGAAAGCUGGUGGUGCGAAAUGGAAAUCAAUGUCUGAUUCUGACAAAGCUCCAUAUGCUGAGAAGGCCUCGAACAAGAAAACAGAGUAUGAGAAAGCUGUAGAAGCAUAUCAGAAGCAGAAACUCAACAAUAAUGGAGACAAUGAGGAAUCUGAGAAAUCCACGUCUGAGAUCCACGAUGAUGCUGAGCAUGAAGCCAGCUCUUAGAGAAAUCUAAUGUGGGCUUUGGAGCUGGCUUGUACAGAGAAGGAAAUGGUAAAAUUCAUCAUUUUGGACAGCAUUUAGGAGUAGUGAUUAACCAAAAUAUAAUGCUUUAGCGUAUCCUUAGAUCAUUUCGAUGUUGCUUACCAAGCAAACCUUUAGUCUGUUCUAUUGUUUAAUUUCCCUCUUAGCUUGAGAUGCUUUCAAAUUCUGUGAAGUUUUUCCUGUUAAUGAAGGUCAGGGAAACUGGAAAAAAAUGUUAUAAGAUUGGGUUACCUUAUAUGGUGGUUUGGAUAUGGAAAUUGGUAUCUGCCUGAACGUUUACUUCUCUAAUUUUGUUGAUUGCAAAAUUAAAAUGGCAAGUGUUG